rnacentral:ncRNA from 1 species
AAGCGUACUCGAGACGGGUGCGUUGAACGACGGGCUUCAGCAGAAGUCAUAGUACUUGAUAGCUUAAGAUAUCAAGGAAGGAC